CAAGUCUUGUCGGUGGAUCACUCGGCUCGUAGAUCGAUGAAGAACGCAGCUAACUGCGAUAAUUAGUGUGAACUGCAGAAACCUUGAACACGGAAAUUUCGAAUGCACAUUGCGCCAUUGGAGCAAUAUCCUUUGGCAUGCUUUGCUCAGGGUCGCAU
rnacentral:rRNA from 1 species